GCAGCUCUGUGCCAUUUUUUCCCUUUAACUUUGGAUAUCCUUCCUUGUAUUAUUGAUUGGCUGUGCCAUAUGCUCGUUAUUGUCAAGCUUUCCCCUUCCUGUUCUGCUCUUGACCUGUGGUGUUUUACACUGUCUCAUGACUUUAUGGUUGCAUAUGGUUUCAGAAUAAGAAAAAGUGGAAUAGAAAUAGUUGUGCUUAUUGGUAUAGUCACAAGUUAUUCAUAUUUUUGUUUGGCUAGAAUUUAUGGAAUAACUUUUGGGAGGGGGUGUCCUUGUUCAUAAAGAAAUAGGAGAGGCAUGGCUUGAUUCCCAAAAUAGCUCAUGACACAGCUUUCCUUGGAAUAGUUAUACUCCGCAUAAGCAAGUUUGAGUGGCAUAACUAUUUUUUGAUUAUGCCUAUUUACAAAGCCUGUUUGGCGGGCAUAAAGCUUAUUCCAAGGCUUGUGCCAGUUCUAUUCAUGAACGAAAUGCUGCUUAUCAGAAUUCUACUGGUUCUCAUGUGUAAUCAGCUCAAGUUAAACUUUAAUGCAACAACAUGGAUUUAUUUACUGGCGUCAAAAGAUGUAUGUAUUAUUUUCAAACUUAUGGCAGUUCAUUGAGCGACAAUGAAACCUAUGGUAAUGGCUAUGCAGGUCAUCUGUUUUAAACUGUCUUUAGAUGACAAACACGGUGGUCCAAAAAUGGUGGAGGGACAAGUUUUCCUAUCUAUGAUACUAUCCUCCUGUGCUAAUCCUAUAUAAAAGUAGGUUUAUUUCCAAGUUUUUCAAUUCCCACAAUGCCUCUAGUCAGAUUUCUCAAUUAAAUGGUGUACCCAUUCUUAAUCUGGACACAUAGGUCUGUUAUUGUUAAGAACUUCCUGCCCAGCAAUCCUAAUCUCUUUUUCCACCCACCCAAACUCUAAUCCUCAAAGCUCGUCCGCAUUAUUGGUCCAGCAACCCAUGACUCUUCACUCAUAAAAACCAUUUUUCCAAAAAUUAAUAGUCAGCUAAUUUUGAAUAUUUAAAUUUUAGAAUUUAACUAUAUUAUCCUAUAUUUGAAAUCUUUAGCAGCCAUGUGCAUUUGAAUGAGCAUUAUAAGUAUUACUUGAUAGAUGUGUUAAAUCUAUUCAUCAUCAUGAUCAAGCCUUCUUCCAUCAAAAGGGGAAUGGUUACAAAGUACAGCUCUUAAAAGGCUCCAUCAAAUUGAAAGAUUUUGAUGAUUGGUUAUAAAUUGUGUCAACCUUUUUAGAACUAUUGCUGGUUUUCUAUCUAGGACAACUUUAGCUAAGAGAGGGGUGCCCGCUACAAAUCCUAGGAGGCAAGUAGGUGCAUAAGAAGACUAUCCUAUUGGUCACAACUUAAGCUUAUGUGGAGGUCCUUGUGUGGGAGAAUGGCUUGUAGGAGAUCUGCUUGAAAAAUUAUAACUGUCCUGGACAUAACAGGAGCAUUAUGUUUCGGGAUCUUUGGGAAAAGCAUUGGCCAGGCACCUGUGAUCUCAGAAAAAUGAGGGGGAGCUGGGUUGAUUUUGGUGGAUAACUAAAUUAUAGGUGGUGAGGCAGGAUGCAGUUGAUCUCUGUUAUCAUCAUAUUAAAGAUAGAGAUAGGUGAUUGUAUGGAAGUUUUAGUUGAAAAUAUUAAAAUUUAAUAUGAAAUUUUCUUGGAUUUUUCUGUUUUACUGGAAGACUUUAUUCAAUGAGUCUAAUUCAAGCUUAUUUCUUUUUAUUUUUAUGUUCUUGAAAUUCAGUGGAUUUGAUGGAAGUCUGCUCUCUGCUUAAAAAAAUAAAAUCGAUUUUGUUAUCUAUUAGGAGUUGCUGGUUUAAGGUGUUGUGAUUUUUCUGUAGAGAAAAUGAUUAGGCUAAAUGCUAAUUUCUAAGACACUGUGAUUAUUAAGAUUAUAA